GGGGGGGGGGUGCACUCUGCGAUCGCGGAAGGCUUGUGUCAUGUCAACCGUUGUGUUGCCAUUACUUAGAGUUCUUCAUGGGGGCGACAGAAACUACGCCCUAUACUAUUUUUGUCC